rnacentral:rRNA from 1 species
UACGUAGGGUCCGAGCGUUGUCCGGAAUUAUUGGGCGUAAAGAGCUCGUAGGCGGUUUGUCACGUCGGCCGUGAAAACUCGGGGCUCAACCCCGAGCCUGCGGUCGAUACGGGCAGACUAGAGUGCUGUAGGGGAGACUGGAAUUCCUGGUGUAGCGGUGAAAUGCGCAGAUAUCAGGAGGAACACCGGUGGCGAAGGCGGGUCUCUGGGCAGUAACUGACGCUGAGGAGCGAAAGCGUGGGGAGCGAACAGG